UCAGUUAAAAUUAUAUUGAAGUGAAUUUUUAACUAAUUCAGCAAGAUUUCGAUCAAAUUCAGCAACUUUUGUAUCAAAUUCAGCAAGCUUUGUAUUUAAUUCAGCAAGCUUUGGAUCAAAUUUAGCAAACUUUGUAUCAAAUUCACAAAUUUCAAACGAAUUCAGCAAACUUGUAAAGCAUGAAGAAAUCAAUUGUUUUCAUAGUUUUUGCCAUUUUUGUCGCUUUUACCUUGGGACAUGAUUCUUGCCGUCAAAAUUGUCAAUCCCGCCAUAACAAAUGUGUCUAUGAAUGUGCUGAACAUCGCGAUCCAACUUGUCUUGUUAGAUGUCCUUAUCGUGACGAUCAAGCCUGUAAAUCUCUCUGUCCUUUCAAAAAGGAUGUGAAUUGCCUUUCAACUUGCGAUCACAAUUUCAACGAACAUUGUAUCAAAAAUUGUCGCCAUAUUCAUUGUCAUUAAAAUUUUUUUUAAAUAAAGUAAAGUUUUCAGUUUUCGUGUGAAA